UACGUAGGGUGCAAGCGUUAAUCGGAAUUACUGGGCGUAAAGCGUGCGCAGGCGGUGAUGUAAGACAGAUGUGAAAUCCCCGGGCUCAACCUGGGAACUGCAUUUGUGACUGCACAGCUUGAGUGCGGCAGAGGGGGAUGGAAUUCCGCGUGUAGCAGUGAAAUGCGUAGAUAUGCGGAGGAACACCGAUGGCGAAGGCAAUCCCCUGGGCCUGCACUGACGCUCAUGCACGAAAGCGUGGGGAGCAAACAGG
rnacentral:rRNA from 1 species